AUUAACGUUGGUAGUAUGCCUAACACAUGCAAGUCGAGCGGAAAGUAGUAGCAAUAUUACUUUUAGCGGCGAACGGGUGAGUAAUACUUAUCUUACUUGCCAAUUAGUGGGGGAUAGGCUUCGGCUAAUACCGCAUUUGUUACUUUGUAAUGAAAGGGGGUCGCAAGACUUCCGCUAAUUGAUAGGGAUAAGCCGUAUUAGUUAGUUGGUGGGGUAAUGGCCUACCAAGACAAUGAUGCGUAGUCAGCCUGAGAGGGUGAAUGGCCACAAGGGAACUGAGACACGGUCCCUACUCCUAUAAGGAGGCAGCAGUGAGGAAUUUUCGGCAAUGGGGGAAACCCUGACCGAGCAAUACUACGUGAAGGAGGAAGGUCUACGGAUUGUAAACUUCUGUUAGCGCGGAAGAAGGGCUAAACGUGAGUUUAGCUUUGACGGUACGCAGCAGAGAAAGUCACGACUAACUACGUGCCAGCAGUCGCGGUAAGACAUAGGUGGCGAACGUUAUCCGGAAUCAUUGGGCGUAAAGGGAUGCGUAGAUGGCCUGAUGAAGUUAUCAGUGGGAAAUCGAGGGCUCAACCUCGUGGAAGCUGUUAAUACUAUUAUGCUCGAGUUCAGGAGAAGUUAACGGAACUCCAUGUGGAGCGGUAAAAUGUGUACGAUAUAUGGAAGAACACCAAUAACGGCGAAGGCAGUUAACUAUUCUGUUACUGACAUUGAGGCACUGAAAGCGUGGGGAGCAAAACGGAUUAGAUACCCGUGUAGUCCACGCCCUAAACGAUGAGUGCUAGAUAUUGGGAACUAGAUUCUCAGUGUCGCUAGAUAACAUCGGUAAGCACUCCGCCUGGGUAGUACGCUCGCAAGAGUUGAAACUCAAAGGAAUUGACGGGGACUCGCACAAGCAGCUGGAGCAUGUGGUUUAAUCCGAUACAACGCGUAGAACCUUACCAAGGCUUGACAUGUUCGGCAAAGCUCGGGAAACCUAGUCGAGGCUAUCCUAACACAGGUGCUGCAUGGCCGUCGUCAGUUCGUGCCGUGAGGUGUAUGGUUAAUUCCUAUAACGAACGCAACCCUUGGACUUAGUUGCCAUCAUUCAGUUGGGGACUCUAAGUCAGACUGCCAGGAGUAAUCAGGAGGAAGGAAAGGAUGACGCCUGGUCGUCAUAGCCCUUAUGCCUUGGGCGACACACGUGCUACAAUGGUUAGUACAAAGGGAUGCCAACCCGCGAGGGGGAGCUAAUCUCAAAAAAUUAACCUCAGUUCGGAUUGGAGGCUGCAACUCGCCUCCAUGAAGCUGGAAUUGCUAGUAAUCGCAAAUCAGCCAUGUUGCGGUGAAUACGUUCUCGAGUCUUGUACACACCGCCCGUCAAAUCACGAAAGUCGGUAAUGCCUAAGACCAACUAGCUAACCCGCAUGGGAGGUAGUUGAUAAGGGUAGGAUUGGCAAUUGGGGUU
rnacentral:rRNA from 1 species